CACAGACCUAAACAACCACAACACAUCAGGGAGCAAAGAAACUCUGCCUGGCAUAGCUCUGAAAGGCUUCUGCUUUUUAGCAGCCCAAAAAGCUGGGUGUGGGGUGUAUGCUGACCUCCAUGCCCACGUCACUCCUGUUUCCUGCCUGUACACAAUGUCCUGAAAGCACCUUCCACCACCUUAACCUCACCACCAGCAUUGUGCAAUAGAUGAACUGCAUUUUCCUAGGCUGCUUUAUACUGCUCCAGCGAUGCCACACCGCUGAACUGACAGUGUAUAAAAGAGUCUAAAAGAUAAAAAAGAGACCUGGACGUUAAAAAAACAUCCUUUCAUGUCUCUAGAACAUUUUCUUUAUUCUACACAAGUACCAAAUACUUCUGUUUUCUCCAAAAUUAAAAAAAAAAAGGAAAAAAAAAGAAGGAAACUCACUCAUUUAAUAUUCCUACUCCCCCUAUAUACCUCAUGGUAUUUAAAAUACCAUCUUUAAGGGC